rnacentral:tRNA from 1 species
GCCCAUAUAGCUCAGUGGUAGAGCACUUCCUUGGUAAGGAAGGGGUCACCGGUUCAAUCCCGGUUAUGGGCUCCA